rnacentral:lncRNA from 1 species
CCAUAUCUGAUUUUUGGCAACAUGAAAAUGCCAAUUUCCUUUCAAACCAAUUCCCGGACUACAGCUACAAAUGUGGUCAACAACGUCAUCCUGGAGUAAAAUUCAGCUCCUGACACACACUUCUAUGGCAAUUAUAACAUAGUUAACACUUGGCCUGUACCUAUAUGAACACUGAUCCAUUGGGGGCCACUGAAUAAAAAUUUCUUCAAUCUCAUUUGCUAUUUUAGUUGAGGAUUCUAAUUUACAGAAGAGCUGGGCCUUUCCUUCUCCCAUUCCUUUUAUAACUUCCUAUCCAGUUUCCUGCAGUUUGUUUUUCCUCCUAUUUGAAUUGUUCUUAUAAUCUUUAAACGUUUCUGUUUCCAUUCACUUUAUGCGUGCAUGCUUCUCUAUGACUUAUCAAACGUAGCACUGGGUGUAAAGUGGUAUUUUUCCAAGGUCAAAAAAAGUAUACGAAUUCAUUUAUUAGGAUUAGGCUUAAACUGCUUUCAUUGAGAUUAUUCAAAGGAUUUUUGCCCUCAUUAAAAUUAUAUCAAGUAAAUAAAAAUAUGACAUCCAUAAGUGUGUUUGUUCACCAAUAAGGAUUUAGGUUUAUCCAACUUUUUGCUAAUACAUAUUCAAGCAUUGUCUUAAGUUAAAAAUAUGAUUAUCAUUCCCAGUAGAUGUGUAACAGAACACAAUAGGGCUGUCAGUUUUUUAAGGAUAUUCAAA